rnacentral:rRNA from 1 species
UACGGGGGGAGCAAGCGUUGUUCGGAUUUACUGGGCGUAAAGGGCGCGUAGGCGGCGCAACAAGUCACUUGUGAAAUCUCCGGGCUUAACUCGGAGCGGUCAAGUGAUACUGUCGUGCUAGAGUGCGGAAGGGGCUACUGGAAUUCUCGGUGUAGCGGUGAAAUGCGUAGAUAUCGAGAGGAACACCUGCGGCGAAGGCGGGUAGCUGGGCCGACACUGACGCUGAGGAGCGAAAGCGUGGGGAGCGAACAGG